rnacentral:lncRNA from 1 species
AAGCAAUCGCCAACAAAAACAGCUAACACUGCGACGAGUUACCAACUUACACCCUUCUUUUAAAGGCUGAGAACAUGAUAGUUCCAAUUUGCUGCAUGGUCAUCUAUAAUGAUUGAGUUGGUUUGCCAAUAAAUGGGGGACUUACGAAUUAGAGACAUGGGAAGGUUGCAAAAUAACUAGAAACUCCUACUGAUUAAUGUAUCAGCACCUUGUGGCUUUCUCCAGCCUCCUUCGGCAGUCCUCUCAAAUAUGCGUGGCUGCUUCAUAGGAAAGGUUUCUCUCCAAUCUGGGUGUUUG